GACUCCAUUCUUCUGAAAAUGUGGCAAUGUGGUGGGAACAAAACUCACAGAAGUUCUUAGUGCACCAUCCAUGAUCAAGACCUCUUGUUGCCAUUGGCUUUUCUACCCUUCCUCUGUUCCCAGAAAUAAUGACUGUGAGACGCAGUUCUGCUUUUGGCUGUUAUGAGACUGCAACAAGUUACAAAUGAUGAUGACUUCUAGGUACUAUUCCUCCAAGUCCAA